UACGUAGGGUGCAAGCGUUGUCCGGAAUUAUUGGGCGUAAAGAGCUCGUAGGCGGUUUGUUGCGUCGGCUGUGAAAUCCCGAGGCUCAACCUCGGGUCUGCAGUCGAUACGAGCAAACUAGAGUGUUGCAGGGGAGACUGGAAUUCCUGGUGUAGCGGUGAAAUGCGCAGAUAUCAGGAGGAACACCGGUGGCGAAGGCGGGUCUCUGGGCAACAACUGACGCUGGAGGAGCGAAAGCCUAGGGGAGCAAACAGGA
rnacentral:rRNA from 1 species